rnacentral:lncRNA from 10 species
GCAAGGACAAAAAACCAAACACCGCAUGUUCUCACUCAUAGGUGGGAAUUGAACAAUGAGAACACAUGGACACAGGAAGGGGAACAUCACACACUGGUCCUGUUGUGGGGUGGGGGAAGGGGGAAGGGAUAGCAUUAGGACAUAUACCUAAUGUUAAAUGACAAGUUGAUGGGUGUAGCACACCAACAUGGCACAUGUAUACAUAUGUAACUAACCUGCACGUUGCGCACAUGUACCCUAAAACUUAAUUAAAAAACAACAACAAAAAAAGAGGUAUAGCUAAGAUGAAGGAGAAGCUACCAGAAAACAGAUUUCAACUCACAGUAAGCAUUGUCUAAUAAUCAGUAUAGUUCAAACCGGAAAAGUAGCAGCUUUGGGAGGUAAUAAAUCUUUAUCUUUCAAGCACAGAGGGAACUGAAUAUUUGGUGCAAGUGUUUGAGAGGACAUUUGAGCAUUGAAUCAUUCGUUCCACUUGAUAAUGAAAUUUCCUUUUAUUCUAAAAGUAUAUGAGUCUAGCCUCAGGGGAUAUUGUUAUGGUGGAAAACAGUAUGAAAGAAAAAUAUCGCAACUGAGGAAAUUCAGCGAAAGGGCACGCUAACCUCUCUUAAUUCUCUAGCUCUUUAAGAAUAUUAUUAUUUUGUCAUUUGGAAACAGGAGUUUUAAAAAAGAAAGCUAAAAAAUUAGUGUUAAUGGCAAAUUACAUCUGCAGUGAGAAGCUUAGAAGGAAUGAUUCAUCAUGUUAGGAGGGAUUUAGAAUAUCUUCUUAUCCAAUCCACUCAAUAUAUUCGAUGAAGAAACUAAACUCAAUAAAAAUUUAUUGGUCCUAAGUCACUUAGCUAAUGACUAAAGCAUGACUUCAAUCUAGACUUUCAGAUUCAACUGUCAAACUGACUUUAAACUUGUUUAUAUUUUCAGGUAACAUGAGAAUUAGACUGAUAGAACUCUUCUAGAAUUGUUCUUUCAAAUGGCAUUUAAAACUCUAGGUUGAAACAAAGUAUACUUUACCAGAGGAUAAUUAUAUAGAUAUUUUUUCCUUCUUUUAAGGCUUUCCAAAUACACAGAUCCUUUAUUUAUCUGAUUAUGAAUCACACCCAGGUGGUAAGAUAUGGAAAUCUUGCAAAUAUAUUGGAAGUCAGGAUUUAAUCAUCUGUGUACUUGUGAACUAUUCCAACAUGAAAUAUAUUUACACCCACAUUAGCUAAUCUUAUAUAAUUAUCAUGCUUGGGUUUUUUUAAUAAUAGAAAAAAGUUGUGAUUCCUUUUCUCCCUGUAAUGAGUGUGAACUGAUGAAAAUUUCAUGUUUAUGUAUUUGUUAGUGUUUAAUUUUACAAUAAUUUUAUAUUCAAUUAUCUACAAAAUACCCCCAAAGACUACUUAUGGAAUACUGAAAUGUAUAAUGAGGAAAAGUGAUUAUGAAAUACAAAUGUAAAAACCUUUAUCUAUAGUAUGACCUGAAAAACAAAAUAUCAACAAAAAUCUAUAGAUAAAAGAUAUACCAAAACGUUAACAGCGUGAGAUUAUCUUCCCUACUGUUUUUCAGAUUUUUUGUAAUGAUCAUGUAUUUUAUAGCAAUAACAAAAAUCUUAUAUUUUAAAAAUGAAAAUGAAACUAAAAACAAAAUUAUAUGAAAAUCUAGUUUUCAGAAUAAUCCAUUCUCUACCUGAAAUGGAUAAAAUUCAUUAGAACAUAAGAUAAUAUUUGAUAUAUACAAAUAAAUUCAUAAAUGUUACUGGAUACUUCUGCAAAGCAUUGUAAAUAAAUAGGCAAAUGUCCCCUUAAGUAGUCAGUGAUAAGUAACUCAACGUUCUCAUUGAGUUCCAAAUGAAUAGGAAUGCUGAAUGUUGGCUGCUUUCAUGUUAAUGUAAUACCUGGCAUUAAGAAAUUUACUCACCAUAUGCUUUUCUUUUCCUUCCCAGCUUCCUGUGCAUCUAUUUGAAUCACAAAGAAAGUUUCUGGACUUUAUUCAGCAUGAAUCCAGCUGGAAACUAAUACUCAACUGAUAUGAACAUUAAAUUUACAAUGGUUUAUUUAAAAGGAGAAAUAUAAUGACUUAGUUUAUAGAGGACUUUAUCAAGUUAUAAGUAGCUUGGUUUUUCAAAUUGCUGCUUUUGUCCAAUUUUGCCAGUUGAAACUGGACUUUCAGAUAUAGCAAUGGUUUUUUUCUAAAGAAAUCCUGUCAACAUUAAAGAGGUUUUCUCCAUUGUAACUAAACUGAACAAAGACAGAAAGCUUAUGGGACAAACUAAAACUGGCUCUCGACCCGCAGUUGUGUCAUGUUGUUUUUUGGACAUUUAAAAAACGUAUUUAUUGAAAUAUAUGCUUGUUCCAACCACCCAAAACCACAACUGCAGUAAGGCCCAAAACCAGACAGAAUAGCAGGAGAGUUCCCACAAGGGACUGCCCCAAACCAACCUAAGAUGCGACCAGUUGGGAUUUCAAAGAAGGAAGUGGUUCCCUCUGGCAAGCUGCCAGGUUGUAAGCUGUCCUAAAGGAGAGGUCCAUGGGACAAGGAACUGAAGAAUGCUUUCAUCCAACAGCCAGGAAGCUACUGAGGUCCUCAGUCCAAGAACCUGCUAGCAACUACAUAAAUCUGAAGCAGAUCCUUCCCCAGCUCAGCCUCCAGAGGAGACCCUACCCCGACCAAUGCUUUGAUUGCAGCCUAAAGCAGAGAACCCACUUAGGCCAUGCUUGGAUUCCUGACCAACAAAAACUGAGAUAAUAAACGUAUGUUAAGUCAAGUUUGAGCAGUAUGUUACACAGCAAUAGAUAACUAACACAUUUGGAGUUCUUAAUUUUCACUGUUUGGUUUUUCAAGUUUUCAAAUUUAUAUUUGGCUUUUUUUUUUUUUUAACAAAUCUGCAGUGACUUUUUUAUAGUUUCCAAUUCUAUAUGGAAAUUUUCCAUCUUUUAUCUCCUUGAAUACAGUAAACAUACUUAAAGUCUACCUCACAAUGCAAUUAUUUGGUGCCCCUUUGGGUCUACUGUUUCUGCCAGUUUUCAUUCCGCCUUUCUCCUCCUGUAUCCAGGGUAUGUGGAGAUACUGUAUUUGAAAAAGUACCCAAAUAAUUUGAGGCCUAGGAAAAUAUUCUUCCUCCAGGUUUCUAUCUUUCAGGUUCCUAGGGGCAUUAGAAACCUAAGGUCACCUUAGUCCACUUCCAAAAUCUCACAAUUUACUAAUCCACCUUGAUGAUUUAAUGCUAAACUACACUCUAUGUGAAUGGUCUACUUCUGUUUCACCAUUAUCCCUAGGAUGCUGUCCUUCAGGAUCUCUAACCAAAGAAUUCUACCAGAGUCACAACCUUGGAGGUCGUAUACUUUUAACGUUCGUCCUUCUAGUCUCCCAAAGUACACUACUCAUGUUUUCAGCCUCUUCUUGGCUAACAAAUCCCCCCUCCAGAGCAAAAGCAGACUGAAUAGCAAGUUCAACUUUUGAGAUUUCCAUUUUAUUU